UAUAUAUAUAUAUCUGCCUCAGGGAAAAUUGCAAGGUGUUCCAGUUCAGAGACCCUACCUGAGCUGUUACAGUGCCAUGUGUGCUUCUGCUCUUCCUUUGAGUGGGCAGAUAGAUUUAGCCCUCUUUAAAUCCUGUCUGCCAUGAUUUUCUUGGCUAUUUCCUCCAGUGACAUAGAGGAAAGGCUGGUUAAAUGGGUUAACUCUCAUCCUGCUUCCACACAGGCAUGGUGGGAAAUAUUAAAAAAGAAAUGUUCCUGUGACCUAAUAUCAGGCUGAGAGAAGGAUGUGCAUCCAGUGAAGGCAGUGCCAAGGACUGCAAUAUGAGAGAAAAAGUUUCUUUCACUAAUGGGCAACUCAGCAGAGCUGGCUUGAACUUGGGCACAUCGUUUGGGUCCAAAAGUCCAGGUAACCUUCAGAACACAAUACAGCAUCAGACCACACUGAACAAUGCAGAAGCCUCAUUGAACCUCCAAGAAUAAAAAAUGCAUGAAACAUGAAUUGAAUUAGUUUUGAGUCCACUGACUCAGAAGAAAUCAGAGAGAUUUAGAAAGAAGAUUCUCAUCCCCUCUCCCCAGUAGAGGCUGGGCACCCUGUAGAGGUGGCAUCAGGGCCCCAUAGUGCUUGGCAUUGUGUGGACACUCCUAGCAAGGCUGAUGGUGAGGAACUGAAACUGGUACUGAGGAACUGGUACUGAGUAGUGAGACUCUACAAAUUUAUUCUUCAAAUUUGUAACAUAUCCCUGGGGACUUGAGAAAUGACAACACUGGCACAGUCUUCAAGAAGGGAGAUAAGUCUGUGUGCAGGAACUAUUGAGGUAUCACCCUCCUUUCCCCAGCAGGGAAAAUCCUUGCCUGCAUCCUCCUAAAUCAUCUUUUACCUGUUGCUGAGGAAAUCCUGCCAGAAUCUCAUUGUGAUUUCACACCAUCCUGUGGGGCAGUUGACAUAAUCUUUGAAACAUGUUGGGAACAACACCAGGACCUGUAUAUGGCCUUCAUUGACCUCACUACAGCCUUCAACUCCAUCAAUCACAAAGCUUUGUGGAAAGUACUGGACAGAUUUGGUUGCCCUGAGAACUGGUCAGAUUUGGAUGUCCUGAAAAAUACAUCAAGGUCCUGAGGCUUCUCCAUGACCCCAAGACCACGGCCAUUCUUUCUCGUAGUCUUGUUGUGGUCUGAUUGGAGACAGAUCCAUUUUUCUUCUGAACUGGGGUCAAGGAUAUGUCAUUGCCCCAAUUCUGUUCUUCAUUUUUUUGACUGUCAUCCUAAUUCUCAUUAAGGACUGCCUCCCUUCUGGAAUUGACACUGAAUACCAAACAGAUGGGGGGCUUUUCAAUCUGGGACAUUUUUGCUCAAAAAUCAAAGUAUUCAAAACAGCUAUGUUGACCUUCAAUACACUGAAAACUGGGCCAUACUUACAGACACUGAGGAAAACCUCCAGACGAUGCUGGAUCCCUAGAAGCUUACUGAACUUUGGGCCCCUCUCUCAACAUUGAGAAGACUAAAAUGUUCUAUCAGUUUGCUCUCAGCUGUGAAUAUGACCCCCUCCCUUAAAUUACCAUCAAGGGAAAGACCCUGGAGAUAGUUAAGUACUUCCCUUACCUAGAUAGCCACCUCCCUCAGAGAGUGAUCAUAAUGAGGAGAUCCAGCACAGAAUCUGGUGCACAGGUGCCUCUUCCAGGGCAUUGCUUUAGCAUGUUUCUAUUGAUCAUGAUCUCUGGGAAGAUACCAAAUUUCAGGUCUAAAAUGAAGUCAUCUUCUACACAUGUGAAACAUGGGUGACCUACUGUUGUAAUCACAAGAGCCUGGAGAGGUAUCACCAUCAAUGUCUCUGGAAAAUCCUCUACAUCAAUGGGAAGAUUGCAUCACAAAUGCCAGCAUCCUAGCUCAAGUCAAUGUUACUAGCAUUGAGUCAAUGAUCCUCAAGCACCAACUUCUCUGGACCAGAUGUGUGUGGAUGCCCAACGCUUGACUUCGAGAACAAGUGCUGUACUCCCAGCUUAGUUGUGCCCUGAGAUCUCACGGUGGUUAGAGGAAAUGCUAUGAGGACGCAUUAUCAAGAAAAUGGAGGCAGACAUUAAGAGCUGGGAAUAGCUGGCUACUGACCAACUCUAAUGACACCACAAUCUCAGUCAAUCAGCAGCCCUCUUCAAGGAAAAGCAUCUUGCCCUCAAAGCAGAGAAGAGAGAGCAGAAGAAAGAAAAGGAGAGAAAUCCCAGUAUGGCCUAUUCUCCCCUAUGAAAAGACCUGCAUUUUUGCAUACGAAUCUGUGGCUAAAGGAUUGGACGCUAAAGGGGAGAAAUUCAUUGCACCCACUUAACCUGCUCCCUGAAAAUUUCAGUUCAGGAAUCUUCAUGUGGAUUAGAAGGAGGCAGUGUGUCAAUUUAUUCAUACCUGAAAAUGGUAGUUAUUUUAGUGAAAACGGCUAUAGAAAGCAUGCAGGUAUUAGUAAUUCAGACUUUUGUGAAGUGGUGAUAGGAUCCUCUUUGGCUCGCCCUGCUUUCCCACUACUUUUCCUUUCUGUUUCUGUUUUUCGUCUCACUCAUGUCAUCUCUGCCUUCAGCUUACCUCUUAGCUAAGCAACUUAUAGGAUAUCUGUCACUGUAAUAUCUGAGAACUUCACAAAGGUAAGAAAAGAAAUUCACUAAAACCCUGAAUCUGAAAUCAUUUUAGAAACAGGGAGAAUUGAGGCACAAAGAACCUCUGACCAGCUGAAGAUCUAGUAUUACAUGCAAAGCUUGGGACAGAGGUACGAAAUGAAUCCAGGCAGUGAACCCUAACUCCCAGCCCUGUGCAUUAACCUCGGGGCAACUCCUUCUCUCUGCAUUAGCCUCAAGACGACUACUGCUGCUAUUACUGCUACUACUGUUUCUUCUUCUUCUUCUUCAUCUUCUUCCUCUUCUUCUUUAAGGUUUAGUUUUAGAGAUGGUUGUUGAAAAUUGGUUUCUCAAGGCUUGACAUAAUGUCAUAUGCAUCAAAAAAAAGUCAAGACUGACAAGCUAUCCUCUGAUCACCUUACACAAAUGAAUUAAGGACAGUCUGUCAGACCUUGCUUUUCAUUUCAGGUCAUAAUCCAAAAUAAUCAAACCAAUAUUUCAUUAAUGUCCAGUUCUUAGAGAGAGAGAAUCUCUCCCUUAGAAACCCAUACACUGAGGAUGAGAUGAUUAUUAGGGGUAAUCUAAGUAUUCUGCAAAUAAUAAAUGAGUAUUUUGCCCCAGUCUUCAACAGGAUAUAGAUGUAUAUGAGGGUAAAUAGUUUGGUGCCUAAUGGCUGCAAAAUUUAGGCCAUUUAUUGUAACAAAAUUGGGAGAGAGGUACCUUCAUCCCAGAAUACUAAAAUAUUGGCAUGUGAAAUAGCAAGUUUAGUAAGAAGGAUUUGUAGUGUAUCUGUAUUAAAAAAAAAAAGAGAGAGAAAAAGAGUGAGGGCAUGCUCAUUCAUUUGACCUCAAUAUUAUGAAAAGUCUUAGAACAGAUUUUGAAGGAAAGACUGAUCAAGGACUUUGAGGCAAAUGGAACCUGGGAUAAAAUGCGACAUGCUAUUAUCUGGAGUUGAUCAUGUCAGACUAACCUCAUAUAUUUCUAUGAUAGGCUAACUGACUUCUUAGAUCAGGGCAGUGUGGAGUCCUAAAGUGUCUAGACUGGAAAAAAGUAUUUGAUACUGUACCUCAUGGGAUAGUGUUAUUAAGGUGAAGAAGAUGGGGAAUUGUAAAGUGGCUAAAUGGGAGACUACCUUAGUUUAUUACUGAAAGGAGAGCUACCAGAAUGGAUAGUUUACUAUUGGUCUUUCUCAGGGAGCUGUCUUGGGUCCUGUCCUAUUUAAUAUUUUCAUUAAUGAUGCUGAAGAAAGGACUAUGACUGUGUUUAUGAAAUUUAUGGAUGGCCCAUAUUAGGGAAGAAUUCCCUAUAGUGAGGAGGACCUGAUUAUCAUAUAAGAAAAAUUAGAUAACCCUAUGGAAUGGAGUAAUAAAAACUGUAUGAGAUUUAAUAGCACAAAGUGCCAAGUCAUGCAGUCAGGAACUAAUACCAAGACCUUUUGCUAAAUGCUAAAGGCUUAUAGAUUGAAACUGGUGGAGGUACCUAGGUGUACUGAUUGAUCAUAGGAUGACCAUAAACUGUCAAUGUGAUAUGGCUGUCAAUAAACCUAAUAAAAUUCUGUGAUGUAUUGGAAGAGGCAAUUUUAGCAGAGAUAGGGAAGCAUUGGUACUAAUGUACAAAGCAUUUAGAAUAUUGUGUACGGUUCAUCAAUGUUCAGAAAAGAUUAAUUUGAACUGAACAGGUGCAGAGAAGGGCUACUAGAAUGUCUAGGGGAAUAGAGAACUCCUCUUAUAAGAGGAGAUUAAAAGAGUUUGCCUUGUUUAAUCUAGCAAAAUGAAGGUUGAGAGGGGAUAUGAUUACUUUCUAUGAAUGCAUCAAGGGACAAAUACCAGGUCAUGAAUAAAUAUAGAUUGAAAAUUAGAAGAAGGUUUCUAACCAUCAGGAAAGUAAAGUUCUGGAAGAGUCUUCUGUACAAGGUAGUAGGCAAGGAAUCCAUUUUUUUGUCAAGAUAGAGUGUAAUAAAUUCAUGAAAUCCCUUUAGGGAGAAUAUGAUAGGAUAGUAAUUUGAAAUUAAAGCUUGGGAUAUGAGGUCUUUGGGGGUUUAAUUGUUUGGUAUUUCCUAUAGAUACUAAUAAUUCAGCAAUCUGGUGGACUUGAUCGUUGUGGGGAUUGUUUCCAGAUGAGAGAAGUGUCUGGCAAGAUUGGACUUUUGGGCCUCACUGAUAGUACAGGCACAAUCUGGUGCAGAGCUUGAAGCUGGAGAAAAUGGUUGCAGCAUAAGAUGUGGCUUAUUGGCUUCUGUUGGAGUCUGAGCACUCCAACAGAACUUGUGGGGAACUUGUGGGGAUUAUAGGUUGGCAAUAAAUCAUAGGGGUUUUUAAGGUGAUUUUUAUGUCUUUGAGGUUGUGCUUUAGUUUAGAUUUCAGGCAUUUUUAUGGUUUGUGUGUUAAGGUAUUGUAAGGAAGGAUGAGCUGGGUAGUUGUCAUGGCCAUUUGCAUAUUAAGUUUACAUCCUCGGUUUGUCCUCCUUACGCUUGAUCUUCCAAUAUACUGACAGUACUUGUUAUACUGUAUUUAUAUUGAGGAUGGAGGGAGCCACAGAACACACAACAAAGAACCACCCACAAGAACAGCCCAGCCAAGACAGGCGACGAGCACAGGAAAUACCCAGGUAAGAGACAGGAGCCCAGGUAGUCCUGGGAUUAGGGGGGCAGUGCAUGCACCUUCAGGAGGCCUUAAAUGCCUUUACACUAAUGCUUGUAGCGUGGGGAACAAGCAGGAGGCCCUCCUGCUAGCUAACACUAACUCGGACAUAGUGGGGCUCACUGAAACUUGGUGGGAUCCAACGCAUGACUGGGCAGUAAACAUCAGGGGCUAUAGGCUGUACAGGAGGGAUAGAACAGGGAGGAAAGGUGGGGGUGUGGCUCUCUACAUCAAAAAGCAGUACACAUCCUCAACAAACAGCACUGGGUCAGGGGAGGGGCAGACUGAAGUGCUCUGGGUCCAUAUAGAAGGGGGUCGUGGGGAAAGGGACUUAAUGGUAUGGGUUUACUACAGGCCACCCAACCAGGGGGAAGAGCUGGACUGGGAAUUCUCAGGUCACCUUGCGGAGGCAGUUAAGUCAAGGAACGUGGUCAUCAUGGGUGACCUAAACUAUCCAGACAUCUGGAAAGAGCAGUCGGCCAGGUCUGACUGCUCACGUAGGUUCUUAGCUAGGUUACAGGACCUCAAUCGAACCCAGGAGGUGCACAGUCCCACCAAGAGAAAUUCCUUGUUGGACCUGGUCCUGGCCAUGGGUGACAACCUGGUGAGUGGACUGUGGGUUCUCAGCCACCUGGGUGAUAGCAAUCAUCGCUUACUGGAAUUCACCAUCCAGUGCAGGGUGUCAAAGGCCUGCAGCAAGGCAGCAGCCCUGGACUUUAGGAGGGCGGAUUUCAAUGAGGUAAAGAGACUAGUCGGGGAGGCACUGAGGUCCUGGAUGGGAGGGGAGUUGGGAGUCCAGGAAGAAUGGUCGUUCCUUAAGGAGAUGAUCCUCCAAGCCCAAAGGGUUGGGGGAGGGGGGGCAAUCCCCACAUGGAUCAAAGGGGGCAGGAAUGCUCAAAAGCCCCCAUGGCUCACCAAAAGCAUCCAGGAACAUCUCAAAGCUAAAAAGGAGGCAUACGCCUAAUGGAAGGGAGGGGCCAUCACCAACGAGGAUUAUACCUCCAUUGCCUGAGAUUGUAGAGGGACUGUUAGGAAGGCUAAGGCGGAGAUGGAACUGGGACUAACGACCUGGACCAAGGACAACAAGAAGUCCUUUUUUAAAUACAUAGUGGGUAAAAAGAAGGUACUGGGUAACAUAGGGCCUCUGUAGGAUACGCUUGGAAAUUUGGUCACACCAGAUGACAAAGCUAACCUCUUUAACAAUUUCUUUGCCUCCAUCUUUUUGAGCAGGGACCGGGGCAUCCCCUGCACUGGGAUCCCCCGAUGGACCCAGGAGAGGUGCUGCCAGGCCCAGGGUCAGUGAGGACCUAGUUGGAGAACUUCUGGUGGGUCUAGAAAGUCAGCAGGUCCUGACGAUCUCCACCCCAGAGUGCUGAGGGAAUUAGCAGAGGUCAUUGUGGUACCCCUGGCACAGCUUUACGAGCACUCAUGGUGCUGUGGUGAGUUGCUGGAGGGCUGGAAAAGGGCCAAUGUGGUUCCCAUUUUCACAAAAGGGAGGAAGGGGGACCCAGGAAACUACAGGUCUGUUAGUCUUACCUCGGUCCUGGGGAAGCUCUUUGAGAAAAUUAUCCAGGAGCACAUCUGCGAGGGACCAGCGGGGGAGAUCAUGCUUAGGGGCAACCAACAUGGGUUCAUUAGAGGCAGGUCCUGUCAGACCAACCAGGUGGCCUUCUACGACCAGGUCACAAAAUUCUUGGACGCAGGUGUCAUGGUGGAUGUAGUCUUUCUGGACUUUAGGAAGGACUUUGACACUGUCUCUUACACAUUCUCAUUAAGAAAUUAGGUGACUGUGGUGUCAAUGCCUAUGCAGUCAAAUGGCUCGCAAAUUGGCUGGAGGGCUGCACCCAGACAGUAGUCGUGGAUGGGUAUUUUUCGACCUGGAGGGAUGUGGGCAGUGGGGUCCCCCAGGGCUCGAUCCUCAGGCCCGCACUGUUCAACAUCUUCUUCAGCGACUUGGACGAGGGGGUGAAAAUCACCUUGUUCAAAUUCACGGAUGACACUAAGCUGUGGGGAGAAGUGGGCACGCUGGAGGAGAGGGACAGGCUGCAACUAGAUGUAGACAGGUUACAGGGAUGGGCAGAUGAGAACAGGAUGGGAUUCAAUACUGACAAGCGCAAGGUACUGCACCUGGGGAGGAAGAACCAGCAGCAUACCUACAGGCUGGGGAACUCCCUUCUAGUCAGAACAGAGGCAGAAAAGGAUCUUGGUGUCAUUAUUGAUUCCAAAAUGAACCUGGGCUGCCAAUGUGGGGACGCGGUCAGGAAGGCUAAACACACCUUGUCUUGCAUCCACAGAUGUAUCACGAUCAGAUCCAAGGAGGUGAUCCUCCCCCUCUAUGCAACACUGGUCAGGCCGCAGCUGGAGUACUGCAUCCAGUUCUGGGCGCCACACUUCAGGAGGGAUGUGGAUAGCAUCGAGAGGGUCCAGAGGAGGGCUACUUGAAUGAUCGGGGGGCAGCAAGGCAGGCCCUAUGAGGAAAGGCUACGAGACCUGAACCUGUUCAGCUUCCGCAAGAGAAGGCUGAGAGGGGAUCUGGUGGCCAUCUACAGACUGGCCAAGGGGGACCAGCAGGCUAUGGGAGAGUCACUGUUCCCCCAAGCACUGCUGGGAGUAACGAGGAAUAACGACCAAAAGUUGACUGAGAGUAGAUUCAAGCUAGAUAUCAGGAGGCACUACUUCACAGUCAGGGUGGCUAGGAUCUGGAGCCAACUUCCAAGGGAAAUGGUGCUCACUCCUACCCUGGGGGUCUUCAAAAGGAGACUAGAUAAUCACCUAGCCAGGGUUGUUUGACCCCAGCAUCCUUUCCUGCCCAUGGCAGGGGGUUGGACUUGAUGAUCUGCUCAGGUCCCUUCUGACCCUACCAACUAUGAAACUAUAUUGUUUUUAGUUAUUCUGUGUUUAAUUUCAUGCUUCAAGGCUUUUGUGAGUUGUCUGCAGGGACUAGAAGAAUUGUUUUCCCCCGUGAAUGAAUAAAUUGCCUUCUAGUCCUUCUCUAUUUGUUGCUUUACUCUGGCACACCAGAUAGUGGCUGUACUUGGAAGUGAGGGAUUGGGUGGGCUGCUUUAGGACUCCUCCUAAUGGUACUGAGAAGGUGCACAAGUACCUGACUGAUGUGCCCCACACAGGGCGCAUUUACUGCGCAGUAAUCUAAGUUACUGCAAAGUAACCAAUAAUUCCUAGGGGUGUGCACCGAUAAAGAUUUUUUUGGCUGAUACCGAUAACCGAUUAUUAACCAGCCAUAUUGGCAGAUACUAUUCUGAGUGCCAAUAUACAGCCCAGUAGCUUGUAGAGCAACAUCCAGCUGGUAAGUCUGUGGGGGAAGAAGGAGCGUGGUAGGGGGAAAGUGUGUGGUGGGACAGAUUAAGU